AUUGAACGCUGGCGGCAUGCCUUACACAUGCAAGUCGAACGGCAGCACGGGAGCAAUCCUGGUGGCGAGUGGCGAACGGGUGAGUAAUAUAUCGGAACGUGCCCAGUCGUGGGGGAUAACGUAGCGAAAGCUACGCUAAUACCGCAUACGAUCUAUGGAUGAAAGCGGGGGAUCGCAAGACCUCGCGCGAUUGGAGCGGCCGAUAUCAGAUUAGGUAGUUGGUGAGGUAAAGGCUCACCAAGCCGACGAUCUGUAGCUGGUCUGAGAGGACGACCAGCCACACUGGGACUGAGACACGGCCCAGACUCCUACGGAGGCAGCAGUGGGGAAUUUUGGGACAAUGGGCGCAAGCCUGAUCCAGCAAUGCCGCGUGCAGGAUGAAGGCC
rnacentral:rRNA from 1 species